ACGGGAGGCAGCAGUGGGGAAUAUUGGGCAAUGGGCGAAAGCCUGACCCAGCAACGCCGCGUGAAGGAAGAAGGUCCUCGGAUUGUAAACUUCUUUUAUCCUUUCCGAAUAACUUUCCUUUACCUGAUGAAUAAGCCACGGCUAACUACGUGCCAGCAGCCGCGGUAAUACGUAGGUGGCGAGCGUUAUCCGGAUUUACUGGGUGUAAAGGGCGCGUAGGCGGGGAUGCAAGUCAGAUGUGAAAUCCAUGGGCUUAACUCAUGAACUGCAUUUGAAACUGUAUCUCUUGAGUGUCGGAGAGGUAGAUGGAAUUCCUAGUGUAGCGGUGAAAUGCGUAGAUAUUAGGAAGAACACCAGUGGCGAAGGCGAUCUACUGGACGAUAACUGACGCUGAGGCGCGAAAGCGUGGGGAGCAAACAGGAUUAGAUACCCUGGUA
rnacentral:rRNA from 1 species